rnacentral:rRNA from 1 species
AGAGUUUGAUUAUGGCUCAGAACGAACGCUUGCUGCAUGCUUUAUACAUGCAAGUCGAACGGAGGCCCUAGCUUGCUAGGUGUCCUUAGUGGCGCACGGGUGAGUAACACGUGGGAACAUACCUUAUAGUACGGAAUAACUGCGGGAAACUGUAGCUAAUACCGUAUACUCCAGUAAUGGGAAAGAUUUAUCGCUAUAAGAUUGGCCCGCGCAAGAUUAGCUUGUUGGUGAGGUAAAAGCUCACCAAGGCUUCGAUCUUUAGCUGGUUUGAGAGGACGAUCAGCCACACUGGGACUGAGACACGGCCCAGACUCCUACGGGAGGCAGCAGUAGGGAAUAUUGGACAAUGGGGGCAACCCUGAUCCAGCAAUGCAGCGUGAGUGACGAAGGCCUUAGGGUUGUAAAACUCUUUCAUCGGUGAGGAUAAUGACAGUAGCCGAAGAAGAAGGACCGGCUAAUUCCGUGCCAGCAGCCGCGGUAAUACGGAAGGUCCUAGCGUUGUUCGGAAUUACUGGGCGUAAAGCGCAUGUAGGCGGAACAGAAAGUUAGAAGUGAAAUCCCUGGGCUCAACCUAGGAAUUGCUUUUAAAACUUCUGUUCUGGAAUUCAGGAGAGGAAAAUGGAAUUUCCAGUGUAGAGGUGAAAUUCGUAGAUAUUGGAAGGAACACCAGUGGCGAAGGCGAUUUUCUGGACUGAUAUUGACGCUGAGAUGCGAAGGCAUGGGUAGCAAACGGGAUUAGAUACCCCGGUAGUCCAUGCAGUAAACGAUGGGUGCUAGUCGUCGGACUUUUGUUCGGUGUCGUAGCUAACGCGUUAAGCACCCCGCCUGGGGAGUACGGUCGCAAG